rnacentral:rRNA from 1 species
GACGAACGCUGGCGGCGCGCUUAACACAUGCAGGUCGAACGGAAAGGCCUGCUUUCCCUUGUGGAUUGCGGGUACUCGAGUGGCGAACGGGUGAGUAACACGUGAGUGAUCUGCCCCCAACUUGGGUAUAAGCCUGGGAAACUGGGUCUAAUUCCCGAUAGGACUGCAGGGUGGUGCCUGUGGUGGAAAACGAUUUUCUAGUGGUUGGGGAUGAGCUCGCGGCCUAUCAGCUUGUUGGUGGGGUAAUGGCCUACCAAGGCGGCGACGGGUAGCCGGCCUGAGAGGGUGGACGGCCACAUUGGGACUGGGAUACGGCCCAGACUCCUACGGGAGGCAGCAGUGGGGAAUAUUGCACAACGGGCGGAAGCCUGAUGCAGCGACGCCGCGUGGGGGAUGGCGGCCUUCGGGUUGUAAACUCCUUUCGACCGCGAGGAAGCCACCUGGUUGGAAGGGUGGUGACGGUAGUGGUAGAAGAAGCACCGGCUAACUACGUG